CGCUAGCUACAGGCUUAACACAUGCAAGUCGAGGGGCAGCAUGGUCUUAGCUUGCUAAGGCCGAUGGCGACCGGCGCACGGGUGAGUAACACGUAUCCAACCUGCCGUCUACUCUUGGACAGCCUUCUGAAAGGAAGAUUAAUACAAGAUGGCAUCAUGAGUCCACAUGUUCACAUGAUUAAAGGUAUUCCGGUAGACGAUGGGGAUGCGUUCCAUUAGAUAGUAGGCGGGGUAACGGCCCACCUAGUCUUCGAUGGAUAGGGGUUCUGAGAGGAAGGUCCCCCACAUUGGAACUGAGACACGGUCCAAACUCCUACGGGAGGCAGCAGUGAGGAAUAUUGGUCAAUGGGCGCAGGCCUGAACCAGCCAAGUAGCGUGAAGGAUGACUGCCCUAUGGGUUGUAAACUUCUUUUAUAAAGGAAUAAAGUCGGGUAUGCAUACCCGUUUGCAUGUACUUUAUGAAUAAGGAUCGGCUAACUCCGUGCCAGCAGCCGCGGUAAUACGGAGGAUCCGAGCGUUAUCCGGAUUUAUUGGGUUUAAAGGGAGCGUAGAUGGAUGUUUAAGUCAGUUGUGAAAGUUUGCGGCUCAACCGUAAAAUUGCAGUUGAUACUGGAUAUCUUGAGUGCAGUUGAGGCAGGCGGAAUUCGUGGUGUAGCGGUGAAAUGCUUAGAUAUCACGAAGAACUCCGAUUGCGAAGGCAGCCUGCUAAGCUGCAACUGACAUUGAGGCUCGAAAGUGUGGGUAUCAAACAGGAUUAGAUACCCUGGUAGUCCACACGGUAAACGAUGAAUACUCGCUGUUUGCGAUAUACAGCAAGCGGCCAAGCGAAAGCGUUAAGUAUUCCACCUGGGGAGUACGCCGGCAACGGUGAAACUCAAAGGAAUUGACGGGGGCCCGCACAAGCGGAGGAACAUGUGGUUUAAUUCGAUGAUACGCGAGGAACCUUACCCGGGCUUAAAUUGCAGAUGAAUUACGGUGAAAGCCGUAAGCCGCAAGGCAUCUGUGAAGGUGCUGCAUGGUUGUCGUCAGCUCGUGCCGUGAGGUGUCGGCUUAAGUGCCAUAACGAGCGCAACCCUUGUUGUCAGUUACUAACAGGUUCCGCUGAGGACUCUGACAAGACUGCCAUCGUAAGAUGUGAUGAAGGUGGGGAUGACGUCAAAUCAGCACGGCCCUUACGUCCGGGGCUACACACGUGUUACAAUGGGGGGUACAGAGGGCCGCUACCACGCGAGUGGAUGCCAAUCCCAAAAACCUCUCUCAGUUCGGACUGGAGUCUGCAACCCGACUCCACGAAGCUGGAUUCGCUAGUAAUCGCGCAUCAGCCACGGCGCGGUGAAUACGUUCCCGGGCCUUGUACACACCGCCCGUCAAGCCAUGGGAGCCGGGGGGUACCUGAAGUGCGUAACCGCGAGGAGCGCCCUAGGGUAAAACUGGUGA
rnacentral:rRNA from 1 species